rnacentral:rRNA from 1 species
AUUGAACGCUGGCGGCAUGCCUAACACAUGCAAGUCGAGCGGACGAAGGGGGCUUUCUCCUCGCUUCCGUUGCGGACGGACGGGUAAGUCACACGUAUCUACCCGACCUAUAGGACUGAGGUCACUACACGGGCGCUGAUAUCGUACACGUCCAGAUGUUGAACGGCAGGGAUCUUUGGUGAUCGACGUAUCUGCUGACCCUUAUACGUAUAUGCGCGUCGCAUUAGCUAGUUGGUACGGUGACGGCAUACCAAGGCGACGAUGCGUAGCCGACCUGAGAGGGUGAUCGGCCACACUGGAACUGAGACACGGUCCAGACUCCUACGGGAGGCAGCAGUAGGGAAUCUUCCGCAAUGGGCGAAAGCCUGACGGAGCAACGCCGCGUGAGUGAUGAAGGUCUUCGGAUCGUAAAACUCUGUUAUUAGGGAAGAACAAAUGUGUAAGGAACUAUGCACGUCUUGACGGUACCUAAUCAGAAAGCCACGGCUAACUACGUG